GGUUUGGCACCUCGAUGUCGGCUCAUCACAUCCUGGGGCUGUAGUAGGUCCCAAGGGUUGGGCUGUUCGCCCAUUAAAGUGGUACGCGGGCUGGGUUCAGAACGUCGUGAGACAGUUCGGUCCCUAUCCGUCGCAGGCGUAGGAAAUUUGAGAAGACCUGUCCUUAGUACGAGAGGACCGGGAUGGACGUACCUCUGGUGUACCAGUUGU
rnacentral:rRNA from 1 species